rnacentral:tRNA from 1 species
GCCAGCAUGGCAUAGUGGUUUGAGUGUUGGACUACAACUCUGGAGACCAGGGUUCAAUUCUCAGCUCAGCCA